AUUGAACGCUGGCGGCAGGCUUAACACAUGCAAGUCGAGCGGGGAAGGGUAGCUUGCUACCUGACCUAGCGGCGGACGGGUGAGUAAUGCUUAGGAAUCUGCCUAUUAGUGGGGGACAACAUUCCGAAAGGAAUGCUAAUACCGCAUACGCCCUACGGGGGAAAGCAGGGGAUCUUCGGACCUUGCGCUAAUAGAUGAGCCUAAGUCAGAUUAGCUAGUUGGUGGGGUAAAGGCCUACCAAGGCGACGAACUGUAGCGGGUCUGAGAGGAUGAUCCGCCACACUGGGACUGAGACACGGCCCAGACUCCUACGGGAGGCAGCAGUGGGGAAUAUUGGACAAUGGGCGAAAGCCUGAUCCAGCCAUGCCGCGUGUGUGAAGAAGGCCUUUUGGUUGUAAAGCACUUUAAGCGAGGAGGAGGCUACUUAGAUUAAUACUCUAGGAUAGUGGACGUUACUCGCAGAAUAAGCACCGGCUAACUCUGUGCCAGCCGCCGCCGUAAAAC
rnacentral:rRNA from 1 species